rnacentral:rRNA from 1 species
UGGGGAAUAUUGGACAAUGGGCGCAAGCCUGAUCCAGCCAUGCCGCGUGAGUGAUGAAGGCCCUAGGGUUGUAAAGCUCUUUCACCGGUGAAGAUAAUGACGGUAACCGGAGAAGAAGCCCCGGCUAACUUCGUGCCAGCAGCCGCGGUAAUACGAAGGGGGCUAGCGUUGUUCGGAUUUACUGGGCGUAAAGCGCACGUAGGCGGACUUUUAAGUCAGGGGUGAAAUCCCGGGGCUCAACCCCGGAACUGCCUUUGAUACUGGAAGUCUUGAGUAUGGUAGAGGUGAGUGGAAUUCCGAGUGUAGAGGUAAAAUUCGUAGAUAUUCGGGGGAACACCAGUGGCGAAGGCGGCUCCCUGGACCAUUACUGACGCUGAGGUGCGAAAGCGUGGGGAGCAAACAGG